rnacentral:tRNA from 1 species
UCCCUGGUGGUCUAGUAGUUGGGACUCAGCACUUUCACUGCUGCAGCCCAAGUUCAAUCCCUGGUCUAGGAG